rnacentral:rRNA from 1 species
CCCGGGCCUUGUACACACCGCCCGUCACACCACGAGAGUUUGUAACACCCGAAGUCGGUGGGGUAACCGUAUGGAGCCAGCCGCCUAAGGUGGGACAGAUGAUUGGGGUG